UUAAAAAGCUCGUAGUUGGAUUUCUGGUUGGAGCGACCGGUCGGGCAUUGAUUUGUCUGCACUGGAGUCGGUUCCGUCCAUCCUCUCGGAAAGUGCGUAUGGCAUUAAGUUGUCGUGCGUAUGGUCCGGGUCUUAUACUGUGAAAAAAUUAGAGUGUUUAAAGCAGGCCUUCGCCUUGAAUACAUUAGCAUGGAAUAAUAAGAUAGGACUUGGGUCUAUUUUGUUGGUUUGCAAACCGAAGUAAUGAUUAAUAGGGAUAGUUGGGGGUAUUUAUAUUCCGAUGUCAGAGGUGAAAUUCUUAGAUUUUCGGAAGAUAAACUUAUGCGAAAGCAUUUACCAAGGAUGUUUUCAUUAAUCAAGAACGAAAGUUAGGGGAUCGAAGAUGAUUAGAUACCAUCGUAGUCUUAACCAUAAACUAUGCCGACUCAGGAUUGGUGAACGUUGAUUUAAUGACUUCAUCAGCACUGUAUG
rnacentral:rRNA from 1 species